CUAACCAUGACUCUAGGAUUUGUGAACAAGAAAAUCAGCAGGAGUAUGAGAGUUCUAAAUUACAAUACUCAUAAAAGUUGCUGAAGUAACUUUGAACAAUUCACUAGGAAAAGAAGGAAUCAUAGGUUCUACUCAAAUGGUAAGAUUGACUGGAGGAUUCGUGAACAAGUUAAUCAAUAGAAGAGGGUGAUUUCUAUUCUAUAAUACUUAGAAAAGCUGGCUGAAAGACUUUGCACAAUUUACUAGCAAAAGUAGGCAUGAUGUGUUGUACUCAAACCGUAAGCACAACUGGAGGAUUCUUGACCAUCUAAAUCAACAGGAGAAGAUGAGUUCUAUUCUAUAAUACUCAGUAAAGCUGCCUGAAUGACUUUGUAUAAUUCACUAGGAAAAGUAGGCACAACAGGUUCUCCUCCUAUUGGAAGUAUGAGUGGAGGAUUUUUGAUGAAGGAAAUCAACAAGAGAAGGUGAGUUCUAUUCUGUAACACUCAGGAAAGCUACCUAAAU